CAGGCCAGUAUUGAUGAAAUUAAGUGCUGGGUAUCUUCCCUACCAACUGCAUCUAGGAUUAUUGAUCAUGGUAUCCCGGCUCAUUUGAGUAUGACAACUGAUGCCUCACAUAUAGGUUGGGGAGCCGUUGUUAACGAAACUAGGACACAAUGGCUGUGGUCCGCACACGAAAUGAAAUUCAUAUUAACGUUUUAGAACUUCUGGCGAUAAAGUUUGUGUUAACAUCACUUCUUGAUAGCACCUGUGAAACGCAUAUCCGAAUUCAAUCAGAUAAUACAACAGGCGUCACAUAUUUAAAUAAAACGGGAGGAUGCAACCACGGUUUGGUAGAAUUAUCAUCAAACUUCAACUUAAGGUAACAAGACCAUAAGCUUGUUUCUGCCUGUACUAUGAAGAUACAUACUAUAAAACAAAUGCAGCUGUUAAAAGCAGAGCUAGCUAUCAAGACUCAAGAAUCCCUGACAACUGACAUUUGAUUGUAAAUGAUAUGAAAAAGUAAAUCACUGAGGAU